GGAGAGGUGGCCGAGUGGUUGAAGGCGGCGGUCUCGAAAACCGUUAUUGGGGGUUUUCCUCAAUCGAGGGUUCGAAUCCCUCCCUCUCCGCCU
rnacentral:tRNA from 1 species